GAGUUGAGUCUUGCUCGUCCGCUUCCGGUGAGCCGCCGAGCCGACACAGCAGCGAUGGGACCCAGCGCGACUCCGCUGACGGAGUGUGACAGAAUGCUGAAGCCCAAAGGAGCCGUGGUGUUACCGCAACACUCCUACUGGUUCGACUUCUGGGUGUUCGUGCUCCUGAACGUGGCGUUGUUCAUAUUCGUUUACUUCGUGGUUCCCUGAAGAGGUGUGUCUCCUGGACUCUGAGGCCUGAAGACGUGUAGCCCUGCUGCUCUGCCGGGAAAGUGGACCCAAGUUUCAACAAACGAGUCAGUUUUGGAGACUCCCCGCCUCAGUGAUGACCCAACUUUUUGUUCCUGACAUUCCGGCCUCACGUCAGACUCCUGAACCACAGACUUCCAGCUACUUUUGUGAAUCGACUGCUUGUUUGGAUUUUGUGACAAAGAAGAAGAUAUUUUUUGAAAUGUUUGUAUUGUUGUAACCUUUGUAUGACCAGCCGUCUCAGCGUGGUGACCGUGUAACCGCUCUGAAGCUGGUUGGACCUGUUCUGGUUCUGAUUUCACGUCAGCAUUCAUUCCGACCCAGUCUGCUGCAGAGCUUUGGAAUGAUCCGGAUCAUCAGGAAAGCUCCACUGAGAGUUUGUUGAGGAGACCUAUAGUCACACUAAUGGGAAAAUACGACACAACUCAAAGCACACAAAUGUUUUGGCAAUUUGUACAUGGACAAUGCAACAAAUAAAGCUUUUUGCCGUGAUUUUA